AUUGAACGCUGGCGGCAUGCCUUACACAUGCAAGUCGAACGGCAGCACGGGAGCAAUCCUGGUGGCGAGUGGCGAACGGGUGAGUAAUAUAUCGGAACGUGCCCAGUCGUGGGGAUAACGUAGCGAAAGCUACGCUAAUACCGCAUACGAUCUACGGAUGAAAGCGGGGGAUCGCAAGACCUCGCGCGAUUGGAGCGGCCGAUAUCAGAUUAGGUAGUUGGUGAGGUAAAGGCUCACCAAGCCGACGAUCUGUAGCUGGUCUGAGAGGACGACCAGCCACACUGGGACUGAGACACGGCCCAGACUCCUACGGAGGCAGCAGUGGGGAAUUUUGGACAAUGGGCGCAAGCCUGAUCCAGCAAUGCCGCGUGCAGGAUGAAGGCC
rnacentral:rRNA from 1 species